rnacentral:rRNA from 1 species
UACGUAGGGUGCGAGCGUUGUCCGGAAUUAUUGGGCGUAAAGAGCUUGUAGGCGGUUUGUCGCGUCUGCCGUGAAAGUCCAGGGCUCAACCCUGGGAUGCCGGUGGAUACUGUCGGGCUCGAGUCCGGAAGAGGAGUGUGGAAUUCCUGGUGUAGCGGUGAAAUGCGCAGAUAUCAGGAGGAACACCAAUGGCGAAGGCAGCACUCUGGGACGUGACUGACGCUGAGACGCGAAAAGCGUGGGGAGCAAACAGG